rnacentral:rRNA from 1 species
GACGAACGCUGGCGGCGCGCCUAACACAUGCAAGUCGAACGAGCGAGAGGAAGCUUGCUUUCUCGAGCGAGUGGCGAACGGGUGAGUAACGCGUGAGGAACCUGCCUUAAAGAGGGGAACAACAGUUGGAAACGACUGCUAAUACCGCAUAAGCCCACGGGUCGGCAUCGACCAGAGGGAAAAGGAGCAAUCCGCUUUGAGAUGGCCUCGCGUCCGAUUAGCUGGUUGGUGAGGUAACGGCCCACCAAGGCGACGAUCGGUAGCCGGACUGAGAGGUUGAACGGCCACAUUGGGACUGAGACACGGCCCAGACUCCUACGGGAGGCAGCAGUGGGGAAUAUUGCACAAUGGGGGAAACCCUGAUGCAGCGACGCCGCGUGGAGGAAGAAGGUCUUCGGAUUGUAAACUCCUGUUGUUGAGGAAGAUAAUGACGGUACUCAACAAGGAAGUGACGGCUAACUACGUGCCAGCAGCCGCCGUAG